rnacentral:lncRNA from 1 species
AUCCAACGUUCAAAAUAUUUGAAAUUUUCCUAGAGUAAUCGGUUACCUUAAAAGGAUAAUCGAUUACUUGUUUCCAACGUGCAAAAAAUAUUUGAAUUUUACACAGAGUGAUCGGUUAUCAUAAAAUGGAUAAUCGGUUACUUUGUCACAAAUUUGAAAAAUAGUUAAAAGAGUGAAGUGUUAUGAUUUGUUUGAUACAUAAAACUACUUUCAAUGAUUAUGGCAUGAAUGAAACAUGUUUUGAAC